rnacentral:rRNA from 1 species
GGAAAGGCGCGCGAUACAGGGUGACAGCCCCGUACACAAAAAUGCACAUGCUGUGAGCUCGAUGAGUAGGGCGGGACACGUGGUAUCCUGUCUGAAUAUGGGGGGACCAUCCUCCAAGGCUAAAUACUCCUGACUGACCGAUAGUGAACCAGUACCGUGAGGGAAAGGCGAAAAGAACCCCGGCGAGGGGAGUGAAAAAGAACCUGAAACCGUGUACGUACAAGCAGUGGGAGCACGCUUAGGCGUGUGACUGCGUACCUUUUGUAUAAUGGGUCAGCGACUUAUAUUCUGUAGCAAGGUUAACCGAAUAGGGGAGCCGAAGGGAAACCGAGUCUUAACUGGGCGUUAAGUUGCAGGGUAUAGACCCGAAACCCGGUGAUCUAGCCAUGGGCAGGUUGAAGGUUGGGUAACACUAACUGGAGGACCGAACCGACUAAUGUUGAAAAAUUAGCGGAUGACUUGUGGCUGGGGGUGAAAGGCCAAUCAAACCGGGAGAUAGCUGGUUCUCCCCGAAAGCUAUUUAGGUAGCGCCUCGUGAAUUCAUCUCCGGGGGUAGAGCACUGUUUCGGCAAGGGGGUCAUCCCGACUUACCAACCCGAUGCAAACUGCGAAUACCGGAGAAUGUUAUCACGGGAGACACACGGCGGGUGCUAACGUCCGUCGUGAAGAGGGAAACAACCCAGACCGCCAGCUAAGGUCCCAAAGUCAUGGUUAAGUGGGAAACGAUGUGGGAAGGCCCAGACAGCCAGGAUGUUGGCUUAGAAGCAGCCAUCAUUUAAAGAAAGCGUAAUAGCUCACUGGUCGAGUCGGCCUGCGCGGAAGAUGUA